rnacentral:rRNA from 1 species
UACGUAGGGACCAAGCGUUGUUCGGAUUUACUGGGCGUAAAGGGCGCGUAGGCGGCAAUUCAAGUCAUCUGUGAAAUCUCCGGGCUUAACCCGGAACGGUCAGAUGAUACUGCUUGCUAGAGUGGCGGAAGGGCAAUCGGAAUUCUUGGUGUAGCGGUGAAAUGCGUAGAUAUCAAGAGGAACACCUGAGGUGAAGACGGGUUGCUGGGCCGACACUGACGCUGAGGAGCGAAAGCGUGGGGAGCGAACAGG